AGUGAACGCUGGCGGUAGGCCUAACACAUGCAAGUCGAACGGCAGCACAGUAAGAGCUUGCUCUUACGGGUGGCGAGUGGCGGACGGGUGAGGAAUACAUCGGAAUCUACUUUUUCGUGGGGGAUAACGUAGGGAAACUUACGCUAAUACCGCAUACGACCUACGGGUGAAAGCAGGGGAUCUUCGGACCUUGCCCCAUUUAAUGAGCCGAUGUCGGAUUAGCUAGUUGGCGGGGUAAAGGCCCACCAAGGCGACGAUCCGUAGCUGGUCUGAGAGGAUGAUCAGCCACACUGGAACUGAGACACGGUCCAGACUCCUACGGGAGGCAGCAGUGGGGAAUAUUGGACAAUGGGCGCAAGCCUGAUCCAGCCAUACCGCGUGGGUGAAGAAGGCCUUCGGGUUGUAAAGCCCUUUUGUUGGGAAAGAAAAGCAGCAGGUUAAUACCCCGCUGUUCUGACGGUACCCAAAGAAUAAGCACCGGCUAACUUCGUG
rnacentral:rRNA from 1 species